CAGUGGCAUUUAUUCAUAGAAAUAAUUCUAAAAUCUGUGUGGAACUACAAAACACCCUAAAUAGCCAAAGCAGUAUU